ACCAGGCGUAGUGGCGCAUGCCUGUAAUCCUAGGGACUUGGGAGUCUGAGGCAGGAGGAUCGCAAGUUCAAGGCCAGCCUCAGCAAUUUAAUGAGGCCCUCAACAACUUAGUGAGAUCUUACCUCAA
rnacentral:sRNA from 1 species